rnacentral:lncRNA from 1 species
UAGGGUUUGAUUAGGAUUUGGUUUAGGGUUUAGAGUUUGGUUAGGGUUUGAUUUUUGAACUUGGUUAUAAUUUGGUUUAGGAUUUAGGAUUUGAUUUAAGGUUUAGGAUUCGAUUUAGGAUUAAAGAUUUGGUUUAGAAUUUAUUUAGGAUUUGGUUAGAGUUUGGUUUAAGAUUUAGAGUUUGGUUUAGGGUUUAGAGUUUGGUUAAGGUUUCAUUUAGGAUUUGAUUAGGAUUUUGUUUAGGGUUUAGGAUUUGAUUUAGGAUUUAGGAUUUGAUUUAGGGUUUAAGAUUUGAUUUAAGAUUUGGUUGGAUUUUGGUUUAGAGUUUGGUUGGGUUUUGGUUUAGAGUUUGGUUGAGUUUUGGUUUAGAGUUUGGUUGGGUUUUGGUUUAGGAUUUGUUUAGGGUUUAUUUAGGGUUUGGUUUAGGGUUUAGAGUUUGAUUAGGGUUUGAUUUUUGAGUUUGUUUAAGAUUUGGUUUUAAAUUUAGGAUUUUAUUUAAGGUUUAGGAUUUGAUUUAGGAUUAAAGAUUUGAUUUAGGAUUUAUUUAGGAUUUGGUUAGAAUUUAGUUUAGGAUUUAGAGUUUGGUUAGGAUUUGAUUAGGAUUUGGUUUAGGUUUUAGGCUUUGGAUUAAGGCUUAGGAUUUGAUUUAGGGUUUGGAUUAAGAUUUAGAAUUUCAUUUAGGAUUUAGGAUUUGGUUUAAGGUUUGGUUGGAUUUUGGUUUAGGAUUUGUUUAAGAUUUGGUUUAGGAUUUAGAGUUUGGUUAAGGUUUCAUUUAGGAUUUAGUUAGGAUUUAGGGAUUUAAGGUUUAGGAUUGAAGAUUUGAUUUAGGAUUUAGGAAUUUUGAUUUAGGAUUUAGGAUUUUAUUAAGAUUUAUUUAAGGUUUAAGAUUUAAUUAGUUUUGGCCUAAAUUUUGAAUGAAUUUCAAUAGGAUUUUAACUAGGAUUAAACUAAGAUUGAAUUGAGAUGUAUUUGAAAUAUAUUUUAUAAUAAUUUUAAUAUUUUUUUAAGCUUUCUUAUUAUUUCUUUGAAAUUUCUUUGAGAUUUUUUUGAAUUUGAUUAAAGCUUGCUUAGCAAUAUUAUGGUCUAAUUAGAAUUUAAUUAAUAUUCUAUUAUAGUUAGAAUUUUGUUGUUGCAAUUUCCAUUUUACCUUUCACAGCCAGGUGCUU